UACGUAGGUGACCAGCGUUGUCCGGAUUUACUGGGCGUAAAGAGCGCGCAGGCGGUCGUUCAAGUCGAGUGUGAAAGCCCCCGGCUCAACUGGGGAGGGUCACUCGAUACUGAUCGACUUGAAGGCAGGAGAGGGAAGCGGAAUUCCCGGUGUAGUGGUGAAAUGCGUAGAUAUCGGGAGGAACACCAGUGGCGAAGGCGGCUUCCUGGACCGGUAUUGACGCUGAGGUGCGAAAGCGUGGGGAGCAAACAGG
rnacentral:rRNA from 1 species